UUUCACCGUAAAUCAUUUAGUCGCUUUUUUGGGGGUUUCCCAUGGUCUUUUCAAUUGAAUCGAGCUCGGUGCCCCUAUCAUUGUUGUUGAUGUGACUUUGCCUCUCGGUCCUUUCUGUAGCCUUUUCUGUGACCUGACAUUGUCCGUCGCCUUCUUACUGGUCACUUGUUGCUACUUUCGACAUAUCGCUUCCUUAUCACCAUCUGCACGACUUGGCCGGAUUGUCCCUUUCAUCUUGGUCAGGAGGACCUUCGUUGGCUAAAUUAAGCAGAUAUUUAUUCUUGUUGGUUUCCAACAUCUCCAACCAAGUUGUCUGAUGAACAAUCUGUGAAAGCUUUGGAUUACCAUUUUGGAGGAGUUGGCACAUUGGAAUAUUAAGGGUAUAAGUGGGUGGCACCUCUAAUGUGUAAGGCAUGUUGGUACCUGCCUGAACAGCAACGCCGAAGCCCAAGCUCUAAUUAUUGACCUUAUGGGUCAUAUCAGGCGAAUAGAGUCCGUAGAUAUCCAUGAGUUUCACUGGUAGAACAGAAAUUAUCUGAUCCUGGAUAUACUGAUGCCAGUGGGUUGAGGAGAUACUAGAUCGCCUCAGGAGUAUCACAUAUAUUUGUGCAAGUGCAAGGGGAUGCAAAUUCUUUGCGAUUUCCAUGGUGCGUCCUGGGAAAUGCAACGUGUAGAAGUAAAUAGUAUUUUUGAAUUUAUUAUGGAAGACUUUGUAGCUUGGUUUUGGCCUUGUGUGAUUCCAGUAUCACAGAAAUAAAUGCAAAAAAGUUCACAAAAGACAGUUACAGUUAAGAUAGCUGGUUCUCGCCUCA